UCUCUCUCUUUUCCCCGUUCUGUCUCCCCCUCCUCAACCAGAGCCCGACCAUCCCUCUGACGUUCUAGAAUAGUCGGCUACGCUCCUCAAGUAUGCUUCCUCGUAAUUCUUUUGUUCGCAUUUUGGUUUAAAGUGAUCCCUCUGCAUGUUUCCGGAAAAUUUGUUCACUUCCUUGUAUUCUCCGUUGAUUUUCCAUUUUGUUUUCUUUGUUUUUAUAUAUGUUUUUUCCAAAUUCGAUGUGAUAUCCUUAACCUCUUCAAGAAUGUCGAACAGCGAUAAUGUGAUGUGUCAUCCGAAUUUGUGAAAAGCCUCUUCAAUUUGAUGUUCUAAGAAGAAAACGUACUUUGUUCGUGUAUAAGGAAGGAGAUGCGCGUGACUUGCCAACUUCUUAACGACUUUUUAAGUUGACAAACGUGAAUUGAAAGAAGCAAGGAAG